rnacentral:rRNA from 1 species
UACAGAGGGUGCGAGCGUUAAUCGGAAUUACUGGGCGUAAAGGGUGCGUAGGUGGUUUGAUAAGUUAGGUGUGAAAGUCCCGGGCUUAACCUGGGGAUUGCGCCUGAUACUGUUAGGCUAGAGUACUGUAGAGGGAAGUGGAAUUUCCGGUGUAGCGGUGAAAUGCGUAGAUAUCGGAAGGAACACCAGUGGCGAAGGCGACUUUCUGGACAGCUACUGACACUGAGGCACGAAAGCAUGGGGAGCAAACAGG